AAAGUGAGAUUACAUACGUCGUUCCUAACUCAGCUGCUGCAGAGGAAGGAAACCACUCAGGGAUUUCACCAUGAGGCCAAUGGUGACUUUAAAACAGUUACAGAGUUUAAUGGCUGUGACAGGAGAAAACUGAGGAUGGAUCAACAACAUUGUAGGUAGUCCACAAUAAUAACCUACAUGACAGAGUUUAAUGGCUGUGACAGGAGAACACUGAGGAUGGAUCAACAACAUUGUAGGUAGUCCACAAUACUAACCUACAUGACAGAGUUUAAUGGCUGUGAUAGGAGAACACUGAGGAUGGAUCAACAACAUUGUAGGUACUCCACAAUACUAACCUAAAUGACAGAGUUUAAUGGCUGUGAUAGGAGAACACUGAGGAUGGAUCAACAACAUUGUAGGUACUCCACAAUACUAACCUAAAUGACAGAGUGAAAAGAAGGAAGCCUGUACAGAAUAUAAAAAUAUUCCAAAACAUGCUUCCUGUUUGCAACAAGGCACUAAUGUCAUACUGCAACAUGUGGCAAAGCAAAACAACACAGUAAGGCAUAAUAUGUCCAUACAAAUAUAUUGAAACAAUGAAAAGUCCAGUGGGAUUGAACGUAUGAGAGUAAGUCAUCCAUUCUGGUGAGUGAGGAUGUCUCCAUAUCUCCAUAGCCUCAGCAGCUAUCCAUCAACAUGAUUUAGCUUUCAGCCUUUUUGCACAUGUCUUCAAUACUAGUGGAUAAUCAUGCUCCCUUCAAAUACAUGAAGGGUUAAAGGUAGAUGGAAUGCCUGGUACACUCCAGAGUGAUCAGAAGUCAUUUAUAAAAGAGACAAUGCUUGGGUCAAGACCAGGAACACAGGCUCAGGCCCGGCAAGCUUUAAGCAACUGAGGAACUAUUGUCCAAAUGCAGUUGCUAAUAGUCUUAAAGCUAUGGAUUCCAUCUACCACGUUGCCCUUCGUUGUUAUGGGCGACAGAUUUGAUACUCAUCACAACACUGCAUCCUGUAUCUAAAGGUUGGCUGGACUUCGCUAAAGACCCGUAGGUCUCUACAUUACUCCCUUCUUGUUUACAAGGCCCUGCUUCAUAAACUUCCGUCUUAUCCAACAUUGCUUUUGAAGUAUAGACACCCGAGUUGCCUAACCCGUUAACUCGACGUUCCUAAGGUCUCCACUGAACUAGGUAAAUCUGGUUUUAGCUUAAAUGCACCACAUUGACCCCCCCCCCAAAAAAAUACAUUUCAUGUUGAUGUUCUGGUGCUGUUUGAGGCAAUUUAAUGUAUUGAUUGGGGACUUACUUGUGGAGGAAUGUAACUUUUUCUGAAUGAUUUGCGAUGUUUUAAUAGUGCUUAACAUGACUGUGUUUUGUAUUGUAAUAUGUUGGGUAUAUUUAUAUUGUAUUAUACAGGGCACAUCUGGAAAAGAAACCUAGGCCUCAAUUUCUUCCCUGUUAAAAUACAAGGUAAAAAUAAAAUGAUAGGUGCAUGAUUAGCCCAUAUUGCUGUCCUGCCUGAGCAUUUCCAGAUGUAACGAGUACGUUUGGGUGUCAGGGAAAAUGUAUGGAGUAAAAUGUACAUUUAUUUUCUUUAGAAAUGUAGUGGAGUAAAAGUUGUCAAAAAUAUAAAUAGUAAAGUACAGAUACCACCAAAAGAAAAACACAAGUAGUACUUAAGUACUUUACACCACUGUGUAUACCAACUCAUUCAUAUGUCACUCUUUAUUGUAUGUCCUAACGCACAGCCAUUGUUCAGGAAAUCUCUUCUCCAGAAGACGUCUUCAUGCACAGCUCUUUUGUCUGGGAAGAUGUGGCAUGUUUUAAGACCAGGUUAGGACCGUUGCCCCAUCUUCCCUGUAUGAUCCUCCAACCAGAAGACCAGGUUAGGACCGUUGCCCCAUCUUCCCUGUAUGAUCCUCCAACCAGAAGACCAGGUUAGGACCGUUGCCCCAUCUUCCCUGUAUGAUCCUCCAACCAGAAGACCAGGUUAGGACCGUUGCCCCAUCUUCCCUGUAUGAUCCUCCAACCAGAAGACCAGGUUAGGACCGUUGCCCCAUCUUCCCUGUAUGAUCCUCCAACCAGAAGACCAGGUUAGGACCGUUGCCCCAUCUUCCCUGUAUGAUCCUCCAACCAGAAGACCAGGUUAGGACCGUUGCCCCAUCUUCCCUGUAUGAUCCUCCAACCAGAAGACCAGGUUAGGACCGUUGCCCCAUCUUCCCUGUAUGAUCCUCCAACCAGAAGACCAGCUUAGGACCGUUGCCCCAUCUUCCCUGUAUGAUCCUCCAACCAGAAGACCAGCUUAGGACCGUUGCCCCAUCUUCCCUGUAUGAUCCUCCAACCAGAAGACCAGGUUAGGACCGUUGCCCCAUCUUCCCUGUAUGAUCCACCAACCAGAAGACCAGGUUAGGACCGUUGCCCCAUCUUCCCUGUAUGAUCCUCCAACCAGAAGAGUUCUUAAGACCAGGUUAGGACCGUUGCCCCAUCUUCCCUGUAUGAUCCUCCAACCAGAAGACCAGGUUAGGACCGUUGCCCCAUCUUCCCUGUAUGAUCCUCCAACCAGAAGACCAGGUUAGGACCGUUGCCCCAUCUUCCCUGUAUGAUCCUCCAACCAGAAGACCAGGGAAAUGCCAGUGAUCCUAACUCUCGUCAUCCAGGAUGUACAAUAAGUUGAUAGGUAGUUCUGCAUCUGGUCAUCUCCUGCCUACAGAUGGUCCUGCCCCAGCCCUCGCCGUGCUUUGUAGAAAGCGCUUAAAGGGAUUCAUUUGAUUGAGUAUCUCUCUGUCCUACAUCACUCUCUGUCCCCUUCCUAAUCUCCAACAGAAAUACACUUCUAGUAACAUCUCAUUUGAAUUGGCUUCUUCAAUGCCAUCAUAAAGUUGUCAUAAACAUGACUUUGAGCUUGACAUAAAUAUCAUAAACUGUAAUAACAUGUUAUGAUAAUUAACGAGACUUUGUCGGU